UUUUAGACGUUAUGUUACUUAGUUUUUUAUUUAAUUUUCAAAACUAUUUUAUAAUAACAGUUACAAUCUUUUAUGUUCACAUUUUAAUUUUAAUUAUCCAUUUGUAUUGCUAAAUUGGUGUUAUUAUUUAAAAAAAUAAAUCAUUCUAUAGUAUAGAAUUAGCAAAGUUAGUGAUUUUCAUAUUUAGUUUUUAGUAUAUUUAUCAAUAGAUUAUAUAGUAUAAUGGUUAAGUGUAAUGAUGUGUGGUUUGAAAAGAAAGUCAGUGUCUGAUCUAAGAUUUUCAAAAACUGCUUGUCAUUUAUAUGUAGAUUCUAACAAAAACUCUAUUAGAGCAGAAAAAGUUAUACAAUUAGAGUUAUCUAUAAAUGAAAAAAUUUCUGCUGCAGAAGCUAUGUGGCUUUUUAAAGUGGCAGAGAAUGAUCUUGUCUUAAGACAUUGUGACAACACACCAAUAUUGUUCCAAAGAAUGUUUCCAGAUGAUAAAAUAAGUCAAGGUUUUACUAUGAGUCGGCAAAAAGCUUCAUAUAUUUUGCAAGAUUGCCUUGGGUCAUUGUCGGAAAAGCUUUUAUGUAAUAGUAUCACAUUAAGUCAAGGUGCAUUCACUUUAAUGUUUGAUGAAACAACUACUUCACAACAAAGAAAACAAAUGGAUCUUUUAUGUCGUUUUUGGUCAGAAGACGAAAACCAAGUUGUUACAAAAUAUUUAACAUCGCUGUUCUUUGGCAGAGCAACAGCAGAAGAUGUCAAAACAAUGCUAGCAGAUUUGCUAGCAUUUUAUUUGCCAUGGGAUCGUCUUUUUAAUAUUUCAGCAGAUGGUCCUAAUAAUAACAAAGCCAUUUGGAGAUUGUUAAAUGCUGAUCUUCAUAGCAAUGGUUUUAAUGGCUUGUUACCAUUUGUAAGUUACACUUUGCACACAGUGCAUAAUGCUUUUCGAAAAAAAGCAAUUAAUGUUGUCGGUGAGGGUGCUGAGCAGCUUGCAUUUGAUUUACAUACCUGGUUCAAGGUAAUGAUUUGAGUAAUUUUAUACAGUAGAAUCCCAUUAAUUCAGACCCCGGAUAAGUUGGAUGUGUACCAAGUCGGACAGAUUUUCAAUUCCCCUUGAGCUUUCUAUACAUACAAAAGCUUAGCUUAUUUGGACAUUCGCUAAGUCGGACUAUUUAUCUAUUCCCUGUGAGAGUCUAACUUAAUGGGAUUUUUCUGCAGAUAAUACUAAAAGAAAAUUUUUUAUUUUACCUAUGAAGUUAAUUUUCUUACAUUAUUAUUAUUUUUUAUUCUAAUAGUCUAUUAUACGACUAGCUAAUAAAGUGUAGUGUCUCUAUAUAAUUUUUUUUUUUUUCUGUUUUAGAAUGCACCCUGUAAAAUAGAAGAUUUUAAAAAAUUAUUAGAGAAUUGAUUAUUUUAGGAGUUACUUGUGUCUAUCAAAUUCCUUAUUGGUUUAGCUCCCUUGUUUGAGAAAUACUUGACAAUAUUUCAAGAUGAAGGACCACUUGUUCAUAUUUUAUUUUAUACAAUGAAAAAUCUUUUAAUAUCUUUAAUGAAAUGUUUCCUUCAACCGACUGCUGUUAAUGGAAAGCUUACCAAAGAUCUUUUAAAAUUGAUUUUUCCGAUUCAGCUAUCCACCUUGAUUUGAAUAAAAUAGACUUUGGCGAGGAACCUAAAAAAAAAAGGUGAACAAAAUAUCAUGUGAAAAAAAAAGAUUAGUCUGCUUACAGCAAAUGAGAGAUGGAUAUAUAUCUGUUGUAAAACACUUGCUAAAAAAACUUUCACUUGAUUUGCAGAUAUUAAAAGAUAUGACUUGUUUGGGUGCUCAAAUGAGAUCAGAACCUUGGACUGUUAAUGCAAUUGGGCGAAUAGCAGUUACGAUGCCACAUGUAAUUACGGAAAGGGAGGUAUCAUUUGUGAAAGAUGAAUGGAAAUUAUACCAAGCAGCUAAUAUAUCAAAAGACUGGUAUAUAGAUUCUGAUACAAAAAAAUUAAAAAGAGUAGACCAUUAUUGGGCUAAAGUUUUUAAAAGUAGCAAUGAAUAUGGAAAAACAAAGUAUGGGUAUCUCAGUAAAGUUGUUAAGAGCUGUUUAACAAGUCAGAAUGGAAAUGCCAAUGCUAAGCGAAGUUUAUCUGAUAACAAAAAUACAUUGACUCAUGAGAGAGUAAAUCUAAAUGAUAAAACAUUAAUGGCUUUGAGAAUAUCAAAAGAAUAUGCAAGAAGUUGCAGAGGAUAUAAUGUUGAUGCACUCUCCAAAGACGUUGUUCAAGCUGUUCAAAAUGCUCAUAGAAUAUAUAAAAAAAGAAAAGCUGAAGAAGACGAAGAAAAAAAAAAAUUAUAUUCAUGAGCAAGAACUAAUGAAUAAAGAAAAAGAACAGAAAGAAAUGCUUGAAAAAGUUGAAAAUAAAAAUAAAAAUUUAGAUCAACAGGAAAAAAUUCUAAAGAAUGAUGAAAAAAAUGCAGAUCUUGGGUUUCAGCUUGCUCAGAGAAUGCUCAAUGAAGCAGCAAAAUCUAUGCAAAGUGCCAUUAUUAAGGAAGACAUGAUGGGUAUAAAAAUUGCCCAUGAAAUGGUAAACGGCGCAAAAAGAAGUCUUGAAAAUGCUACAUCUCAUAGAAAUGAACAGAAAAAGUUGGUUUAAAACGUAAAAGUGAAAUGGAUAGAUUAAUUAAGCGUUGCAAAAAAUUAAAGUAGUUGUUAAAAGUUUAAAAGUUUUUGUAAAUAUAAUAGAGCUUGAACUGUUAGUUCAGUUAUAAUUAGUUAGCAAAAUUUAUUUAUUUAUGU